UCCGAUGGGCGUCUUCUUUCAAAUGUAUAUUCUUUCUUAAAUUAUUUACCCUGUCAACACGCUCUGCAUGCAGAAGGCGUCUGUGCAGCGCCGAUCCGGCCCUGACGGGUGCGAGUGGAGCGUCCUCCGAGGUGUCCUAUCCUGGCGUGUCCGUCCAGUUCUGUCGCUCUCAUGUGAACACCCACAGGCGGUGUCUGCCAGUGACAGGGCUGUUGGCUCCCGUACAGAUGGGUACAAUCAAUGCCCACCAUUGUUCUGCCCCAGAGCGCGUCUCCGCACUAGAAAGGGAGAAAUCACCAAAAUAAUGUUUAUUUAAUGGGCCGUCUGCAGCCACAAUGCACAAUCUGCUCUGUCCAAAGGAGAGUGGCGAGCGCCGGGGCCCCAACCUCGAGUCCUUGUAACGUCCCUGCAGCUGUGAGGAUGGGGGAGGAGGCCGAAGGAGUCGGGUCAUCCAGAAUCGGGUCUUACUGGCCGUCCUGGGGAUCAUCAUCGUCUUCACCAUCAUUAUGGCCAUUUACUUCUCUUUUCGUGGACACUGAUCCUGUCCUCUUCCCACUGUACAGCGGGCGGCGGAGUCAUUCUGAUCGAAUGUUCCUGUGUAUCACGCUCCAUGGAACAAUAUCCCUAAAAACUGCAGGUCAACUUCCAAAACUGUCUUCUUUUUCCACCAAGGACCUUCCAUCACCUCUCGGGAACCCUCUCAUGAUCCUUCAGACCUUCCUUUGCAAGAUGAAGAUACGAUAACCAGAAGAAGUCAACUUUUUAGGUGUCGAAUUGUAUAUUUCUGGUGAUUUUCUUCUUGUCUUGUGGACUUCCGUUAUUUCUUCUUGGUCUCGUGGUUGAGGUCUUGGCCAAAGGUUGACAAUUUUAUCAUUUAAGCCUAAUUUUUGUCAGUUAUAAUGAUCCCCUUCAGCCAUGGUGGGGUUAAUGGAAUGAAAUAUGAUGAUCAGAUUAUUGAUACGGUACUGUGAAGGCUUAAUUAAAGGAGAUCCCCAGUCACUAAUGAACAUUCAUCCCCCCUUUUAGUCAGUGUAACAGUAUAGUUUCGACAUUGCAACAACUCAUGCCCAUUCGAUCUAUGACAAAGACUGUCCCAUGACUACAAGUAGGUGUCAGGCCCCACCUACUUAGGAUAUCUCCUUGUCAGGUGCACAAUCAUAAGACAUUUAAGCUCCGCCCAGGCUGGGAAAGAUUUGGGCAAUGGUAGUUGGAGGUGAUGCAUGAUGGGAGAUUAAUACUGAUCCUGUCUGCUUUUUGUGCCUGCCCCUAUUCCAGGCUUGGAGCUUCCACCAGGACCAGUAGUGAACUGAUGUGAGGAUGACUGCAGAUUUAGGCCUCGUAGAUGAUUGGUUUUGUCCUUUCAGUUGUGUGUUUUUUCUCUUCCUGUCCAUGACCGAUGUUUGAUUCAUCUUAGUAAAUGAUGAAAUGUCGCUUUAUUUCAAUCAAAUUCUCACCCUGUGAUCCUCCUUCUCCCCAAUAGAAGCUAACCAAAGUGCAAGUAUCACAGUAUAGAUCCCAAAAUCCUGUAGCAGUGGUGCAAGCAACAUUGUGGUGGUCUCCAUGCCUCAUGUCAUCAGGGGACACUUCUCUAUUCAGACCAUGACAUGUGCUAACUGAGGUGUUGCGAUUGUCCUUAUCCAUGAUGCAUCCUAUUGGGCAUUCAUUUGAUGGUUCCUCCAAUCCACAGCCACUUGUAGCACAAGAAACGUCUGCUGUUUGAUAAAGCCGGGCCAUACACAGGAGAUAGCUGUUGAGCUGACCGCGAUCUCUCCCGAUCCCCCACAUCUCUGGUGCUUAUCUUCCCAAGAAUUAAAGAAUUGGGCAGUUGAAACCCAACUUUCCCGACCCUUCUUUCCCCCAACCUCUGCCAUCAGUCAGGAGGACCUAACAUACUCAGUAGAAGCUUGUUCAGUCCCACCAAAACUGGCUUGUUCAACCAAGAUACAUCAAAUGUUUAUGGAAGAAGCUGUAAGAUCCCAAAUAUUGGGAAGAUUCGGGCACGAGAUGGAGCAUCAUUUUCUGGCAGAGACACGUGAGAUCAUGAGUUGUCAGCUGUUCCUAAGCAUCAAACGAUAAGACUUUGGCUGGUCCAUGUGGUAUCUUUAUUGUGUAUGGCUCUACAAACUGAGGCUGAUCUGUAGGGGUGGGACCCUGUGGUCUUCACGGUGACACAGGAGCCACAUUACUGAAGUCAGGCCGGGGAAUUGUCAUGUCUGAAGCAGCCACUCCACUAGAGAUGUCAGUCAUGAGCACACAGGAUAAGACAUCUGGUGGUGUAUGUGCGUCGUCCACUACUGGAAUUGUAUCUUCAUUUUUGAUUCUUCUCUUUAUGUCUGUGACACCAUGCUGCAUCAUUAAAGGGGUUAUCCAACUUUAAACGUUUUUAAGAGACCCCUUCAUAGUAUCCAGACCCCCCUUCCUUCCCUCUGGGUUCCGAUUCCACGGUCACCCCUGCAGGUCGGGUCUCUGGGAAUCAACAGCGUGUUGACAGGGCCGCACGUGACCGCUGCCACCAAUCACUGGCUGCAGUGGUGACCCAGUACCAGCACGUGACCCAGUGAUAGGCUGCAGUGGGUAUUUGCGGCCCCGUCAAUAGGAUCCAAGGUCCUGCGGCGGCUGUAAUGGAGCCAGAAGUCACCAGGACCAGGUAAGUAUGAUCCCCACCACGGGACCAAACACUCUAAAGGGAUCAGUUAAAAAAUAUUAAAGUUGGAUAACCCCUUUAAUAGACCCCCCCCUUGUUACCCCGAGCCGUUCAUUACCUGACCUCAUUAACACUCUGCAUUGCUCCCUGUAAUUUAUUGUGGCCAGGACGGGCCCAAAGUCCGGUAACAUGCCUCCGUCUUCUGAUUCCUGUGUUGUAGUUUCUAGAUAUGUGGAUAUUUUUUUCUUUUAAUAUAAAUUAUGUAUAAAGUGUAAUGCAAUAAAAUAUAUUAAUAAAAGACCAGAAGAAGUGGAA